GGAUGCGAUACCAUCAGCACUAAAGCACCGGAUCCAUCAGAACUCCGAAGUUAAGCGUGCUUGGGCGAGAGUAGUACUAGGAUGGGUGACCUCCUGGGAAGUCCUCGUGUUGCAUCCU
rnacentral:rRNA from 1 species